rnacentral:rRNA from 1 species
UGUGUCGCCCGCAAGGGCGCAUGGUGGAUGCCUUGGCAGACAGUACCGACGAAGGACGUUUGAGGAUGCGAUAAGCCUCGGGGAGCCUCCAGCAUGGCUUCGAUCCGAGGAUUUCCGAAUGGGGCAACCCGCCGGCCGUCAUGGGCCGGCACCGCAGGCUUCUGCGGGGGGUACGCAGGGAAGUGAAACAUCUCAGUACCUGCAGGAAGGGAUACUCCGUGAGUAGUGGCGAGCGAAAGCGGAUCAGACCAAACCGCGCGCGCGUGAUACCCGUCGGGGGUUGCGUGCGCGGUGUUGAGGGAGCGCGUGUCCCGGUUCCGACGGACCGGGCGGGAGUCAUAAAGCGGCUUGCCAGGGGAACAGGCUUGAAGGCCUGGCCGCAGAGGGUGCCAGCCCCGUACCUGGACGCUUGCCGUCUUCCGAUCGCGUGUCCCAAGUAGCGCGGGCCUCGUGGAAUCCCGCGUGAAUCCGCACCGACCGUGGUGUAAGUCUAAGCAUACCUGUCUGACCGAUAGCGUACCAGUACCGUGAGGGAAAGGUGAAAAGCACCCCGGGAGGGGAGUGAAAGAGUUCCUGAAACCGUGCGCCUACGAUCCGUCGGAGCCUCCCUCGUGGGGUGACGGCGUGCCUAUCGAAAAAUGAGUCUGCGAGUCAGUGAUGCGUGGCGAGGCUAACCCGUCGUGGGGCAGCCGUAGCGAAGGCGAGUCCGAACAGGGCGUUUUACAGUCGCGUGUCCUGGACCCGAAGCGGGAUGAUCUAGCCCUGGGCAGGUUGAAGCGCGGGUAAGACCGCGUGGAGGACCGAACCCACCUGGGUUGAAAACCGGGGGGAUGACCUGGGGCUAGGGGUGAAAGGCCAAUCAAAUUCCGUGAUAGCUGGUUCUCUCCGAAAUGCAUUUAGGUGCAGCGUCGGCUUAUUGCAUCGCGGGGGUAGAGCUACCGGAUGCUUGCGGGCCCUUGUGGGGUACCAACAGCAGCCGAACUCCGAAUACCGUUGAUGUGUAUGCCGGCAGUGAG